rnacentral:rRNA from 1 species
UAAGGCGAGGCCGACAGGCGUAGUCGAUGGAUGACGGGUUGAUAUUCCCGUACCGGCGAAGCACCGCCCAUGCUGACGCGCGGGUGCUAACCCACGCCCGGCCGCCAUGUAGGCCGCGCCUACUCCUUUCGGGGGGUGGUGUGGUUGUGGUGGUGGGGUCUGGGGAUCCUCCGUGCAGGUAGGCAAGCGUGUUAACAGGGGUGACGCACAGUGGUAGCCCGGCGGACCUGAUGGCUUGGUCCGUUCAAGCGCGCAGCCCGUCCUCCAGGUAAAUCCGGGGUGACUGUCUUUGAUGACGGGGGUGAGGCGUGAUGGUGACCUCACGUUGGUGGGGGAUAGCAGGGUGAUCCUGGGGUGCCGAGAAAAGCCUCGACGCGAUGGUGCCAGCCGCCCGUACCCUAAACCGACACAGGUGGUCGGGCAGAGUAUGCCUAGGCGCACGAGUGAAUCAUGGUUAAGGAACUCGGCAAAAUGCCCCCGUAACUUCGGGAGAAGGGGGGCCCGAUCCCUUGAAGCCCCGUGGCGGGCUAGGGGGGUGGGUCGCAGAGGCCAGGGGGAAGCGACUGUUUACUAAAAACACAGGUCCGUGCGAAGCCGUAAGGCGAUGUAUACGGACUGACGCCUGCCCGGUGCUGGAAGGUUAAGAGGAACCAUCAACCCUCGGGUGAAGUGGUGAAUUUAAGCCCCAGUAAACGGCGGUGGUAACUAUAACCAUCCUAAGGUAGCGAAAUUCCUUGUCGGGUAAGUUCCGACCUGCACGAAUGGCGUAACGACUUCCCCGCUGUCUCAACCAUGAGCUCGGCGAAAUUGCAGUACGAGUAAAGAUGCUCGUUUCGCGCAGAAGGACGGAAAGACCCCGGGACCUUUACUACAGCUUGGUAUUGGCGCCCGCUAUAGCUUGUGCAGGAUAGGUGGGAGACUGUGAAGCCGUUACGCCAGUAGCGGUGGAGUCGUCCUUGAAAUACCACUCUGGUUAUGGCGUGCGCCUGAACCUGGGCCCGUGAUCCGGGUUAGGGACAGUGCCUGGUGGGUAGUUUAACUGGGGCGGUUGCCUCCUAAAGUGUAACGGAGGCGCUCAAAGGUUCCCUCAGCCUGGUCGGCAACCAGGUGUUGAGUGCAAGUGCACAAGGGAGCUUGACUGUGAGACCGACGGGUCGAGCAGGUACGAAAGUAGGAACUAGUGAUCCGGCGAUCCCGUGUGGGUGGGUCGUCGCUCAACGGAUAAAAGGUACCCCGGGGAUAACAGGCUGAUCCUGCCCAAGAGUCCAUAUCGACGGCAUGGUUUGGCACCUCGAUGUCGGCUCGUCGCAUCCUGGGGCUGGAGCAGGUCCCAAGGGUUGGGCUGUUCGCCCAUUAAAGCGGUACGCGAGCUGGGUUUAGAACGUCGUGAGACAGUUCGGUCCCUAUCCUCUGCGCGCGCAGGAGACUUGAGAAGGCCUGUCCCUAGUACGAGAGGACCGGGACGGACGAACCUCUGGUAUGCCAGUUGUUCCGCCAGGAGCACGGCUGGUUAGCUACGUCCGGACAUGGAUAACCGCUGAAAGCAUCUAAGCGGGAAACCAUCUUCAAGACCAGGUCUCCACCACCCCCUCCUUUCUUUUUCGCUAUAGUGAAUAGAGGGGAGGGGUGGGAAGGCCCCCAGAUGAUGACUGGGUUGAUAGGCCGGAGGUGGACACCCAGUAACGGGUACCAAGCCGACCGGUACUAACACGGCCGAUCACACACAA